rnacentral:rRNA from 1 species
AUUGAACGCUGGCGGCAGGCCUAACACAUGCAAGUCGAGCGGCAGCGGAAAGUAGCUUGCUACUUUGCCGGCGAGCGGCGGACGGGUGAGUAAUGUCUGGGAAACUGCCUGAUGGAGGGGGAUAACUACUGGAAACGGUAGCUAAUACCGCAUAACGUCGCAAGACCAAAGAGGGGGACCUUCGGGCCUCUUGCCAUCAGAUGUGCCCAGAUGGGAUUAGCUGGUAGGUGGGGUAACGGCUCACCUAGGCGACGAUCCCUAGCUGGUCUGAGAGGAUGACCAGCCACACUGGAACUGAGACACGGUCCAGACUCCUACGGGAGGCAGCAGUGGGGAAUAUUGCACAAUGGGCGCAAGCCUGAUGCAGCCAUGCCGCGUGUAUGAAGAAGGCCUUCGGGUUGUAAAGUACUUUCAGCGGGGAGGAAGGUGUUGAGGUUAAUAACCUCAGCAAUUGACGUUACCCGCAGAAGAAGCACCGGCUAACUCCGUG